AAGUCGUAACAAGGUUUCCGUAGGUGAACCUGCGGAAGGAUCAUUCCAAAAGAGAGAAUUUCUUCUCCAAUAUACUGUGAAAUUGUACUUUUAUAACCCUCUGAACUAUUCAUUAUAGCCUUUGGGAGACUUUGUCGGGACACUAGUGUUCCUUCAAACUCAACCUGUAAUAUAAACCACUUAAAUCAUAAGAAACAUUGACAACUUUUAACAAUGGAUCUCUUGGUUCUU
rnacentral:misc_RNA from 1 species